rnacentral:rRNA from 1 species
AUUGAACGCUGGCGGCAUGCCUUACACAUGCAAGUCGAACGGCAGCACGGGUGCUUGCACCUGGUGGCGAGUGGCGAACGGGUGAGUAAUGCAUCGGAACAUAUCCUGUAGUGGGGGAUAGCCCGGCGAAAGCCGGAUUAAUACCGCAUACGAUCUACGGAUGAAAGCGGGGGACCUUCGGGCCUCGCGCUAUCGGGUUGGCCGAUGGCUGAUUAGCUAGUUAGUGGGGUAAAGGCCUACCAAGGCGACGAUCAGUAGCUGGUCUGAGAGGACGACCAGCCACACUGGGACUGAGACACGGCCCAGACUCCUACGGGAGGCAGCAGUGGGGAAUUUUGGACAAUGGGCGAAAGCCUGAUCCAGCAAUGCCGCGUGUGUGAAGAAGGCCUUCGGGUUGUAAAGCACUUUUGUCCGGAAAGAAAUCCUUGGCCCUAAUACGGUCGGGGGAUGACGGUACCGGAAGAAUAAGCACCGGCUAACUACGUG